rnacentral:rRNA from 1 species
GUACACAAAAAUGCACAUGCUGUGAGCUCGAUGAGUAGGGCGGGACACGUGGUAUCCUGUCUGAAUAUGGGGGGACCAUCCUCCAAGGCUAAAUACUCCUGACUGACCGAUAGUGAACCAGUACCGUGAGGGAAAGGCGAAAAGAACCCCGGCGAGGGGAGUGAAAAAGAACCUGAAACCGUGUACGUACAAGCAGUGGGAGCACGCUUAGGCGUGUGACUGCGUACCUUUUGUAUAAUGGGUCAGCGACUUAUAUUCUGUAGCAAGGUUAACCGAAUAGGGGAGCCGAAGGGAAACCGAGUCUUAACUGGGCGUUAAGUUGCAGGGUAUAGACCCGAAACCCGGUGAUCUAGCCAUGGGCAGGUUGAAGGUUGGGUAACACUAACUGGAGGACCGAACCGACUAAUGUUGAAAAAUUAGCGGAUGACUUGUGGCUGGGGGUGAAAGGCCAAUCAAACCGGGAGAUAGCUGGUUCUCCCCGAAAGCUAUUUAGGUAGCGCCUCGUGAAUUCAUCUCCGGGGGUAGAGCACUGUUUCGGCAAGGGGGUCAUCCCGACUUACCAACCCGAUGCAAACUGCGAAUACCGGAGAAUGUUAUCACGGGAGACACACGGCGGGUGCUAACGUCCGUCGUGAAGAGGGAAACAACCCAGACCGCCAGCUAAGGUCCCAAAGUCAUGGUUAAGUGGGAAACGAUGUGGGAAGGCCCAGACAGCCAGGAUGUUGGCUUAGAAGCAGCCAUCAUUUAAAGAAAGCGUAAUAGCUCACUGGUCGAGUCGGCCUGCGCGGAAGAUGUAACGGGGCUAAACCAUGCACCGAAGCUGCGGCAGCGACGCUGAUGCGUUGUUGGGUAGGGGAGCGUUCUGUAAGCCUGCGAAGGUGUGCUGUGAGGCAUGCUGGAGGUAUCAGAAGUGCGAAUGCUGACAUAAGUAACGAUAAAGCGGGUGAAAAGCCCGCUCGCCGGAAGACCAAGGGUUCCUGUCCAACGUUAAUCGGGGCAGGGUGAGUCGACCCCUAAGGCGAGGCCGAAAGGCGUAGUCGAUGGGAAACAGGUUAAUAUUCCUGUACUUGGUGUUACUGCGAAGGGGGGACGGAGAAGGCUAUGUUGGCCGGGCGACGGUUGUCCCGGUUUAAGCGUGUAGGCUGGUUUUCCAGGCAAAUCCGGAAAAUCAAGGCUGAGGCGUGAUGACGAGGCACUACGGUGCUGAAGCAACAAAUGCCCUGCUUCCAGGAAAAGCCUCUAAGCAUCAGGUAACAUCAAAUCGUACCCCAAACCGACACAGGUGGUCAGGUAGAGAAUACCAAGGCGCUUGAGAGAACUCGGGUGAAGGAACUAGGCAAAAUGGUGCCGUAACUUCGGGAGAAGG